GACGAACGCUGGCGGCGUGCCUAAUACAUGCAAGUCGAGCGAAGUUUUUCUGGUGCUUGCACCGGAAAAACUUAGCGGCGAACGGGUGAGUAACACGUAAAGAACCUGCCUCAUAGACUGGGACAACUAUUGGAAACGAUAGCUAAUACCGGAUAACAGCAUUAACUGCAUGGUUGAUGUUUAAAAGUUGGUUUUGCUAACACUAUGAGAUGGCUUUGCGGUGCAUUAGCUAGUUGGUGGGGUAAAGGCCUACCAAGGCGACGAUGCAUAGCCGACCUGAGAGGGUGAUCGGCCACACUGGGACUGAGACACGGCCCAGACUCCUACGGGAGGCAGCAGUAGGGAAUCUUCCGCAAUGGGCGAAAGCCUGACGGAGCAACGCCGCGUGAGUGAAGAAGGAUUUCGGUUCGUAAAGCUCUGUUGUUAGGGAAGAAUGAUUGUGUAGUAACUAUACACAGUGGAGACGG
rnacentral:rRNA from 1 species